GAUGAACGCUGGCGGCGUGCCUAAUACAUGCAAGUCGAGCGAACAGACGAGGAGCUUGCUCCUCUGACGUUAGCGGCGGACGGGUGAGUAACACGUGGAUAACCUACCUAUAAGACUGGGAUAACUUCGGGAAACCGGAGCUAAUACCGGAUAAUAUAUUGAACCGCAUGGUUCAAUAGUUAAAGACGGUUUUGCUGUCACUUAUAGAUGGAUCCGCGCCGCAUUAGCUAGUUGGUAAGGUAACGGCUUACCAAGGCAACGAUGCGUAGCCGACCUGAGAGGGUGAUCGGCCACACUGGAACUGAGACACGGUCCAGACUCCCACGGGAGGCAGCAGUAGGGAAUCUUCCGCAAUGGGCGAAAGCCUGACGGAGCAACGCCGCGUGAGUGAUGAAGGUCUUCGGAUCGUAAAACUCUGUUAUUAGGGAAGAACAAAUGUGUAAGUAACUAUGCACGUCUUGACGGUACCUAAUCAGAAAGCCACGGCUAACUACGUG
rnacentral:rRNA from 1 species